CAUAAUCUUCGUUGGCCCGCCAGGCUCGGUAGGCCACAUUGGGCACCGCACCCGAUAAACACCGACGAGCACAGCUAUGGGUCAGUCAUCGCAUGUCAUCGGUCAUCACUACCACGAUGCGGAGCGUUUGGAGGGUGCCUCGAACCCUCCCUCGUUCACGAACCCGGACGGAUCGUCCCACGCGGCUGCGAGCGGCCAAACACCGCCCCCUUUGCUGCCGCCAUGCCGCUGUACGGAAGGCUCGAGGCGUUCGAGGGAGAUGGGUCCGCCUGGCCAAUUUACGAGGAAAAAGUCCACGUGUUCUGCCGGGCGAACGACACACCCGAGGCCAAACAGCGGGACAUUUUCCUGGCCAGCUGCGGGACCCGCGUUUUCAGUCUCCUGCUUGACCUUCUCAAGCCAGCCACGCCGCAUGUAAGACGCUGGAGAAGCCAAGAGUGAAGCCACAGCCUACAGUUGAGUGUCCUGGUGACUACGCUACGCAGCACGCCAUUGCCAUCUUGGAGGACAUGCACGGUAGAGAUGGCAACGCACUGUGUGAAAAUAAACUGAUUUUCCCGUCUUUAAGAAUGCAUUCUUUUUCUGAACUCAAAAUUGGCAAAUUUGUACAGAGAGUAAUUUCGCGAUCACAAAAUCGGUGAACAGUGUGUUACCUGGCUACCUAGCGCACAAGGGCAAUUGCGAUGCAGCUGUGCUGCACAAAUUGUGUUUCUCACAAUGGGGUUGAAGUUUUUCACGAGGUUUAUGCCUAUGCCCGCGCAAUAGUGAGAAUGUGUUGGAAUAGCAGGAAUGGGCAGGUAUUUAGUGCAUACAGUACUUGCUGUCAUGUAUACGUAUCAAGGAGCAUGGAAGACUGCAGAUGAAAUAGUGGAAUACAAAUUUAUUAAGCCAAGAGACUCAUCGAGCCACUUGACACCACAACUCAUGUUUAGUCAGAAAAAAAGAAAAGGAGGGAAACUUGGGAAAGCAAGACUCCUAAUGAGAAAAAUGCAAAUUACACCCAGUUUAAGUGUUCCAGUCCCUGAGAAACACCAUAACAAAUGAAUAAGGGGAGAGGUAUGUUGAUAAAAAAAAUUUAAUUCCAAAUUAAAACAUCCAACUUAUUAAACAAAAUGAAGACCAUGACACGGAAGAGCUUGCUGCACUGAAAAUACCUGAACUCCAAAAAAAAAAAAGGCAACGCCAGCUCUGUAGUACAUCCUGAAUUUGUUGUCCUAAAGCCCAAAAACUCUUCAUAUACAAAGAGUCACAGAGCUCAAUGAAACCCAGACCCUUGCUAGACCAGCUCACAAUGAUAAGAAAAACCUUUACAGAGAUGUGCACAUGUAAAAAACUCAAACCUUCAUGAAAAAAAAAAAGUUGCGGAGCUAACAGGCACUCUCACAUUUCCUCUCUUGGACAAGAUGAGGUUGUGGUUACACGCGACACCAUAAACAUGUCAUCCAGAAAAAUACCAGUCCUCUCAGGAAUUUUGAAAAACAAAA